AUAAAAAACCAAUGCCUUCGGGCUCCUUGGUGAUUCAUGAUAACUUAACGAAUCGCAUGGCCUUGCGCCGGCGAUGGUUCAUUCAAAUUUCUGCCCUAUCAACUUUCGAUGGUAGGAUAGUGCCUACCAUGGUUUCAACGGGUAACGGGGAAUUAGGGUUCGAUUCCGGAGAGGGAGCCUGAGAAACGGCUACCACAUCCAAGGAAGGCAGCAGGCGCGCAAAUUACCCAAUCCCAAUUCGGGGAGGUAGUGACAAUAAAUACUGAUACAGGGCUCUUUUGGGUCUUGUAAUUGGAAUGAGUACAAUUUAAAUCCCUUAACGAGGAACAAUUGGAGGGCAAGUCUGGUGCCAGCAGCCGCGGUAAUUCCAGCUCCAAUAGCGUAUAUUAAAGUUGUUGCAGUUAAAAAGCUCGUAGUUGAACCUUGGGUCUGGCUGCCCGGUCCGCCUAACCGCGUGCACUGGUGCGGCCGGAUCUUUCCUUCUGGCUAACCUCAUGCCCUUUACUGGGUGUGCU
rnacentral:rRNA from 1 species